UGGAGCUGAAAUCAGUCGAAGAUACCAGCUGGCUGCAACUGUUUAUUAAAAACACAGCACUGUGCAAACACGAAAGUGGACGUAUACGGUGUGACGCCUGCCCGGUGCCGGAAGGUUAAUUGAUGGGGUCAGCGCAAGCGAAGCUCUUGAUCGAAGCCCCGGUAAACGGCGGCCGUAACUAUAACGGUCCUAAGGUAGCGAAAUUCCUUGUCGGGUAAGUUCCGACCUGCACGAAUGGCGUAAUGAUGGCCAGGCUGUCUCCACCCGAGACUCAGUGAAAUUGAACUCGCUGUGAAGAUGCAGUGUACCCGCGGCAAGACGGAAAGACCCCGUGAACCUUUACUAUAGCUUGACACUGAACACUGGUCCUUGAUGUGUAGGAUAGGUGGGAGGCUUUGAAGUGUGGACGCCAGUCUGCAUGGAGCCGUCCUUGAAAUACCACCCUUUAAUGGCUGGUGUUCUAACGUUGGCCCCUUAUCGGGGUUGCGGACAGUGUCUGGUGGGUAGUUUGACUGGGGCGGUCUCCUCCUAAAGAGUAACGGAGGAGCACGAAGGUUGGCUAAUCCUGGUCGGACAUCAGGAGGUUAGUGCAAUGGCAUAAGCCAGCUUGACUGCGAGCGUGACGGCGCGAGCAGGUGCGAAAGCAGGUCAUAGUGAUCCGGUGGUUCUGAAUGGAAGGGCCAUCGCUCAACGGAUAAAAGGUACUCCGGGGAUAACAGGCUGAUACCGCCCAAGAGUUCAUAUCGACGGCGGUGUUUGGCACCUCGAUGUCGGCUCAUCACAUCCUGGGGCUGAAGUAGGUCCCAAGGGUAUGGCUGUUCGCCAUUUAAAGUGGUACGCGAGCUGGGUUUAGAACGUCGUGAGACAGUUCGGUCCCUAUCUGCCGUGGGCGCUGGAGAACUGAGGGGGGCUGCUCCUAGUACGAGAGGACCGGAGUGGACGCAUCACUGGUGUUCGGGUUGUCAUGCCAAUGGCACUGCCCGGUAGCUAAAUGCGGAAGAGAUAAGUGCUGAAAGCAUCUAAGCACGAAACUUGCCCCGAGAUGAGUUCUCCCUGAGACUUAAAGUCUCCUGAAGGAACGUUGAAGACGACGACGUUGAUAGGCCGGGUGUGUAAGCGCAGCGAUGCGUUGAGCUAACCGGUACUAAUGAACCGUGAGG
rnacentral:rRNA from 1 species